GGGCCCGCACAAGCGGUGGAGCAUGUGGUUUAAUUCGAUGCAACGCGAAGAACCUUACCAGGGUUUGACAUGCUUGUCGUACUCUCCCGAAAAGGAGAGGUCACUUCGGGUGGACAAUGCACAGGUGCUGCAUGGCCGUCGUCAGCUCGUGUCGUGAGAUGUUUGGUUAAGUCCAGCAACGAGCGCAACCCCUGUGAACUGUUGCCAGCGCGUAAAGGCGGGGACUCUGUUCAGACUGCCCAGAUCAACUGGGAGGAAGGUGGGGACGACGUCAGGUCAGUAUGGCCCUUACGCCUAGGGCUGCACACGUACUACAAUGCCCAGCACAAUGAGAACCGAGACCGCAAGGUGGAGGAAAUCUGCAAAACUGGGCCCAGUUCGGAUUGGAGGCUGCAACUCGCCUCCAUGAAGUCGGAAUC
rnacentral:rRNA from 1 species